rnacentral:lncRNA from 1 species
AUGUUUACAAAAUUUUACUUUUUCAUAUGUUUAUGCAUUUCUUAGCAAUCACAAUAUUUAUUUUUAUUUCAACUUUGUUAACCUUUAGUUACAUCUUCAGCUGCUACAAGUGUCCCACAACCUCCACAACAACUAACACAACCUUCUGCUGAGCUUACCUACGG